AAACAUCUUUGUAAAAUUUCCACUUUUGAGUCACGGGCGAACAGUGCUAUAAAAAGGCACGUCAGUGUAAGCCGUCCUUAUAUCGGUACUGAACAUCGAAAGAAGACAAUUCCAUCUUCAUUCAACAUAUCUUGGCAAGACAGUGAUCAGGAUUUAAAAAAAAAAACCUGUCGUCUGGGACGUGAGCAUCUGAGAUCAGAUACCAAUCAGUAUGGCAAAUGCGAUCCUCGACCCAAAUGUCAUCAAGGCGAUAGUGGAAUUCGUCAACAGCACAGUCAAUGAGGAGGGACAGGUGACAAUUGCAGAUCGUGUAAUCAAAUACAGUGCCAAGGGGCGCGUGCAUAGUUUGAAAGAACCCUGGGUGUAUGAUGGCACGGCAUGGGACGUCAUGAGCGGGAUCAGCGAAAAGGCUAAACAUUAUAAGAGCAGGCAGGGAGCCAUCGAACACGCCAUGAAGAAGCUGUUCGAACGACUGAAGAGAGAGGGAAUCAUGACUUAACUGGUCCGAGUCGAUAAUAAUGGCCCAUUAUAUCUCCGAUUUUUUUUUUCGAAAAAAAAAGUCCACUUGGUCAUUCCUUAAUAUGCUUUAAUUGGCUACAAUUGGUUAUUAAUAAGGAUGAUUAACUUUGAUUGUUCAAAAGAAGACUUUCUUGUUGGUUAGCUUUUCUUUGUUACUGAGAAGUAAUGUUACUCAUUGUUACUCAUUAUAAUUUUGAUUGAAGUCGUUUUAAGGUCUAACUGGACUAUUAUUGUAUCAGUAAUAUAUGUAUAAAACUAACACUAUAGUGUAACUAUCAUGUUGUCGGAUACCCACUUGUAUGCCAACUUCCAUGCAUGCUGUCAAAUUUUCACAAAUGUAAUGUCGUUAUAAAUCUUUCAACUCACCAUGGUCACAACCAGCAGAAUUGUGUUUCCCAUAUUUUUUUUUUAAUUCUUAAAAAGCAUCUUCGACGUUAUAGCGAAAUCUUAAUAUUUUGUCGGAAUUAAAUGAGUUGAGAUUAUAGAGACUAACUACCUUUUGAAAACAAAAUCGACAUCUUUUUCAUAAUUAUGUAAUCUGUUCGGGGGCAAUUGCAUUUCUUUCUUUUAUAUUUUUGUGCAGAUUGUUAGCUGAGAAAGAAAUGAUUGGUUAAAAUUGAAUACUACUGAGAAGAACUACCGUCCUUCGAGUAAAAUGCCAUGCAAUUUCUUGGGUAUUUUCACAAUAAGUUGUUUUUUUUCUUCUUUUUUUCUUUUUUCAUUUAUUGCGUCUAGCGCUUUUAUUUCUCGCAACAUUGUUUACAUUUUUUAGAAAAACGUACGUACUUAAUACAUAGUUACAUUAUACAUGUAUUACAUUAAUUAAAAUAACAUGUUACAAAAACUUAUUCCAGAAGACUUUGUUUUUCUUCUGUAAUUUAGCUCUCCAGUAAAGUUCUCGAAUGAAAGUGUCAAAA